CAUUGUCUACUACUUCUGUUGUUUAAUUUUGAUUUUGUUGGUUAUCUUUUGAUUUAUUGUUUGACCUAACACUGUGAAGUUGGAGUGUGUAUUCAGUUUUCAGUUUAAUGUGUUUAUUGAAGUUGUUUUGGUGUUUUGAAGUUAGGGGUUUUACUUUAGAGUCUUGUUUUAUAGAUUUUGGGUUUUUUUUUUCUCUUCUGUAUUAUGUGUUUUAAGUCAUGGGUGUGUUUUGAUUUCAAUUUAGCGGUCUAUUGAUGUUGGUUUUAUGUACAGUCUCGUAUAAAAGUGAAUGAAUUGCAUAAAGAGUUGGGUUUAUGGCUUUGAGGUGGAUUUUGAGUCCUCUGUUGCUGUUUUAGGGAUUCAUUCAUCUGAAAGGAGAAGUUUUAGAUCUUAGACUUCAAUUUCAUCUAAGUGGAUUUUAAAUGCUUCUUUAAAUUGAACGGCGUAUAUGCAUGCAUACUCGGUUAAGUCUAACAUUUUAUGAGGAAAUGAUGUUGUAUUGAAGUAUUAUGUAUGGAUUUGCCUUAUUCUGCACAUAUGCACAAUCAUUAGUUUUCCCAAGAUUAUUUUCGUAGAAAGUUGGAAUAGUACAGGUUUGAUUUCUCUUUCCAAGCUUUAAAUUUAUGAUUUUUCUUGUGCGUGUAAAUUGCUUGAUGAAACGACUUAAAGAAAGGUAUACAGUUUUGCAACUGUUGUGAUGGGAAUGAAUCUUAUAGGUAAGUUUUUAAGUGCUCUGAAAUGGAUUUACUUAGACCAUUGUGACAUCACAACUAAAUUAAUAUGUUAGAGCGCUUCUGGUCUACAAUGUGCUUAUCAUUUCAAGUAUGUAUCUUUUGUUAAUAUGUGUACAACUAGAUUUUAAAUUAGCGGAGUCGCAAGUAUUGCUUUUGUCUAUUUGGUUUGGCGUAAUGUAUUUCUAUGCGACUUUGAGAUACAUAUAGUGUUUGAGAUAUUGUCAUUACUAGUUCUUACUUCUUAGUCACCAGUUCAGAGUACGUCGUCUAUUGUAGUGCGCUUUAUUGUAAACUUCACUUAUUUUUUAUUUUUUUGUAUUUAGUGAAUUUGUGUUACAUGUUUAAGAAGCUUCAAUAGACAUUUAGAUGUUUUUCAAAUCGCUUGUUUGAGCUCAAAAUGCCAUACUUGUUAGAGACGUUUCAUGACCUUGCCACUAUUUUUUGUAUUGGUUGUGGCAAUAAAAAAAUAAGUAACAUUUGCUAGUUUGACCUCCUUUUCUUCACCUGGACAAAAUGGAUGUCAUUUUUCCAUGGAAUUACAUGAGGUGCUAAUGAUAUUCAUGUUUAGAUAGAUUGGCAAGUGUCCCAAGUGGCUUUUACUUACUUGAAAUUUAAGCUACUGAAUUAUUGCACAUCAUCAACUUAUUUGCUUAUUUUCUUAAAUGACAUUUUCUUUAUAUAUGCAUCUCGAUGGGGGUGGGUGCUGCUGGCCAAUGGACUCCAUCCUAACAUCCUAAUUAUUUACCCACUUUAAUUUGAUAGCAGCAUGUGUAUGGAGGCAAAGUCGAUUAACUGCUUCAAACUGCUCUCAGCUUGCUUGAUUCUAUCAGAAUUUCAAGGAUCAAGAUGUGCUCAGUAAAAGAUGGCGAUGAUCAACCAUUAUGGGAGGAAAUUGCAGGUCAUGUUUCCAUAUAAGUUCAGUUACUUGUGGAGUAUUGAAGAGCUUCUGUUCAAUUCCAUGCUAACCGGCCGGUGUUCCUGUCUGAUUUGUUUUUGAUAGACACUCUCAAUCGCUCCUCGACACAAUGUUCACCUUGGAGGUCAUCCAAGGCCUGGUGACAAGCAGGAGGAGGACAUCAUAGUGACCAGCACCGGAGCAGCAUUUUGAGUAUCAUGUCCAUAUAAAGUGGAAAGCUUAUUACUUAAGUACAAGAUCCUGUGCAGAGGUAUCAUUUUGAAUAUCAUACUCCCAAUCUAACUCAUAUUAUCAAAACUUAUAUAUGGUAAUUGUUUUCUAGUUUAUAUACCACGUGGGGGUAGUACAGUUAUGUACUUGUUUUAGAUUGUAUUGUAGUGAAUCCAAUGGGUGGGUUGUGGUGGAUAAAGGAGCUAAACAUUGUUAGUAUUUAUCUUUGAAUCAACCAAAUAAUUGUAUGGUUUAUUAUAGUUCAUCUGUUACAUGAUUCAACGCGAGCAAUUCAUAUGAUUCAUAUCUUUAUUACAAACUGAUAUAUCUUGAUGGAUUGUUAUGACGAACCAUAUGUUCAUAUGAAAAA